UUUUCUUCGAAGAAAAUAGGUGACAUACGUGCCAUUUAGAUAGCACGUGCGAUGCCAUCCAAUUAUCAAAAUCACUUUAUGUUGUGUUAGAAGAACUGUCAUGUUCUUUUUCUUCGAAAGAAAAAAAAAAUUAUGAUCCGUGCAUAAACGCGGUGAAAUAGCUUGUUUCUACAAAAAUCCUGUUCACUGUCGAGCUUCAAUUUAGUUUAGAAUCUUUGCAGGUGACUUUCCACAAUGUUGGCUAUACUGACUCAGGUCGUCGCAUUGCAGCAUCUACUUGCAGGGUUCUCCUGUCAAAAUCCUCAUGGGCACUAAUGCACUGAUUCCAAGCGAACAGACUACAUCCAGACUUCAGUACAAUCGUGUGCCUUCUAUCCAGACCUGCUUGCCUUCUUUUCAAACUAAAAGCUGUAAGCAAUAGAGGUAGUUAACAAGGGAACUUAAGCAGGAUUUGAGGAAGGAAUGCGAGACAUGAGACCUGGGGGGAAGAGAAAGAUAAUCAUUGCUCAAGAACUUGGGCCACCGGUCGGACCUCCUACAUUUUUCAGCUCAAAACAGUUUGAAGUUUUUGAUGUGGAACUCCUCAAUUUUAAGGACUGUCAAAGGAAGACUACAGGAUUUUACUCUGAUGUUGUGUGCGACUGACAGGCUUUUGUUAAGCCUUUAAAAGGCAAUUUUGUCGGAACAUUAUCACGCUAGAAGUUUAUCCUACUACGUCGAUUUUUACCUUGUCCAAGAAAGGCCAUAUUGAAAAUUAGCAUUUGAGAAAGUCGGAAUUUUAAUUUUAUACGAUGACUCUAAUUUAUCAACAGUUUUCAGGAAUAUCAUUAUUUGCUAUUUAGUA